CUUGGACUGGGGCUCAGCGGCAGAGUGCUUGCCUUAGUUAUACAUAUUGUCCAUGUAUAACUAAAAAAUAUUUUUUUAAAAUUUUAACACCAAAAAAAACAAAUAACCCAAUCAAUAAAUGGGCCAAGGAAGUGGAUAGACACUUCUCAGAAGAUGAUAUACAAUCAAUCAACAAAUAUAUGAAAAAAUGUUCAACAUCUCUAGCAAUUAGAGCAAUGCAAAUUAAAACUACUCACUCCAGUCAGAAUGGCAGCUAUUAAGAAUACAAACAACAGUAAGUGUUGGUAAGGAUGUGGGGGAAAGGGCACACUUUUACAUUGCUGGUGGGACUGCAAAUUAGUGCAACCAGUCUAAAAAACAUUAUAAAGAUUCCUUGGAAAACUGGGAAUGGAACCACCAUUUGACCCAGCUAUCCCACUCCUAGAUUAUACCUAAAGGACUUAAAGAUAGCACAUUACAAGGACACAGCCACAUCAAUGUUCAUAGCAGCACAAUUCACAACAGCUAAAUUGUGGAUCCAACCUAGAUGCCCUUCAGUAGAUGAAUGGAUAGGGAAAAUGUUGUAAAUAUACACAAUGGAAUAUUACUCAGCCUUAAAAGAGAAUAAAAUCAUGGCAUUUGCAGGUAAAAGGAUGGAGUUGGAGAAUAUAAUGCUAAGUGAAGUAAGCCAAUCCAAAAAAAACAUACGCCAAAAUGUCUUCUCUGAUAUAAGGAUGCUAAUUCAUAAUGGGAUGGCUCGGGGGUGGGGAGCAUGGAAGGAAUAGAUGAACUUUAGAUAGGGCAAAGGAGAGGGAGAAGAAUGGAAGUGGCAUGGGGAUAGAAAAGAUGGUAGAAUGAGACGGACAUCAUUACCCCCUAAGUACAUGAAUGAAAACACGAAUGGUGUGAUUCUACUUUCUGUACAAUCAGAGACAUGAAAAAUUGUGCUCUUUUUGUGUAACAUGAAUUGCAUUCUGCUGUCAUAUAUAACAAAUUAAAUUUUUUUAAAAAUUGCACCAUGACAGAGCUGGGAGCACUGAGCACUAUCUUUGGUACUACUCAUUUUACUUGGCCUGUUUUGUCACCUAUGAGACAAAGGGAUUAGACUUUGUAAGAUGAAC
rnacentral:lncRNA from 1 species